AGCUUUGCACAUGGCUGUAUUAUAGCCAAUGAGGUUUAUCCGAGGCACAAUUAUUGCUAAUUGAAAAAAAAAACUAUCUCAAAGACCAAUAAUAAGCUGGGAAAAAUAAUUGUAACUCAUAAAACAUAAAGGA
rnacentral:snRNA from 1 species